UACCCGCCCGGGUACUACGAGCAUAGCUUAAAACCCAAAGGACUUGGCGGUGUCUCAGACCCACCUAGAGGAGCCUGUUCUAGAACCGAUAAUCCCCGUUAAACCUCACCACUUCUUGUUAAUCCCGCCUAUAUACCGCCGUCGCCAGCUUACCCCAUGAGGGUCAAACAGUAAGCAAAAUGGACAAACCCCAAAUCGUCAGGUCGAGGUGUAGCGCACGAAGUGGGAGAAAUGGGCUACAUUUUCUAUACAGAAAUAACGAAUGGUCUACUGAACACAUACCUGAAGGAGGAUUUAGCAGUAAAAGCAAUAGAG
rnacentral:rRNA from 1 species